UACGGGGGGGGCAAGCGUUGUUCGGAAUUACUGGGCGUAAAGGGCUCGUAGGCGGCCAACUAAGUCGGACGUGAAAUCCCUCGGCUUAACCGGGGAACUGCGUCCGAUACUGGAUGGCUUGAGUUUGGGAGAGGGAUGCGGAAUUCCAGGUGUAGCGGUGAAAUGCGUAGAUAUCAGGAGGAACACCUGUGGUGUAGACAGCUUACUGGACCACGACUGACGCUGAGACACGAAAGCGUGGGUAGCAAACAGG
rnacentral:rRNA from 1 species